rnacentral:rRNA from 1 species
GAUGAACGCUGGCGGCGUGCCUAAUACAUGCAAGUCGAGCGAACAGAUGAGGAGCUUGCUCCUCUGACGUUAGCGGCGGACGGGUGAGUAACACGUGGAUAACCUACCUAUAAGACUGGGAUAACUUCGGGAAACCGGAGCUAAUACCGGAUAAUAUAUUGAACCGCAUGGUUCAAUAGUGAAAGACGGUUUUGCUGUCACUUAUAGAUGGAUCCGCGCCGCAUUAGCUAGUUGGUAAGGUAACGGCUUACCAAGGCAACGAUGCGUAGCCGACCUGAGAGGGUGAUCGGCCACACUGGAACUGAGAAACGGGCCAGACUCCUACGGGAGGCAGCAGUAGGGAAUCUUCCGCAAUGGGCGAAAGCCUGACGGAGCAACGCCGCGUGAGUGAUGAAGGUCUUCGGAUCGUAAAACUCUGUUAUUAGGGAAGAACAAAUGUGUAAGUAGCUAUGCACGUCUUGACGGUACCUAAUCAGAAAGCCACGGCUAACUACGU